rnacentral:lncRNA from 1 species
UUUUAACCUGAAAAUUGGGAUACUGCUCAUGCCUUCCCACAAGCUGACUGAGGAUAAAUGAGAUUAUGUGGAUGCUCUUUAUAAACUUGAAGUCACUGGGAAGGCCAGUGUUGUCAUUAGGGAGCUCAAGAGUCUCACUGGGAGUUUCAUCUUUUGGGCUCAUGGUAGUACAGAUAUUUCUGUGAGGAAGAGGGAAUUUGAGUUUCUCAUGGUCAAGCUCAAUGAUGAGCUUGGUGAGUACCAGGAGGGUCAGGAAUAGGGUGAUGCAAAAUUUAAGGGAGUACCAAAAAGCUUAGUAAUAAGAUAAAUAACAAUGUCCUUCAAAAAUAGUCAAAGUUAAUGUAGACAAUCAAUAUGAACAAAAUAUCACACAUUAAACCAAAGCCAGAAUCAGUUUUACUUUUUUUUGUGUGCUUUAGCUCCAGUAUGACUCAGGAUGGCACAGGCUACUAAGCCAUUCCUUGAAGGAAUUCACCCAAAGACAGUAUGGUGGGGCACUCCCAGUUGUGUUCUGGAGUGGUUGCUGCUCUUAGAUAUGGAUCCAGAUCAAGUAGAGUAAUUAAAAAUGUUUAAUGUUCUUUGCUAUUUUUUUGAAGCAUAAAGAAGAAAGAGCAUAUCAUACCUCCCUGAAUUUUCACAAAAUGAGCACAUCCAAGGAACUAGCACCCAGAUGUAGAAAAAGGAUGCUAUCAGCACUGCAGGGAACCAUCCCCCACUGCUUUUGUCCCCUUCUAGUCAUAACUUAAGAGCCAUUUUCCUUGUGGGGACUCCUUCAUUAAGUAGUAAUUUUUGCCUUGUAGAGAUAUGUGCAUAUCUGACCCAGGAGCACAAACUAGGUUCAUACAAAUACUUGGUCCAUGAAAUGCUUUCAUUUUUGGCCCAUGGCUGAAAAAUGCAAGGGAAGAAGACCCCAGAAAUGUAUCAGUGAGAAAUUAGCAAGGUUCAACCAGAUGAAAGCCCCUUCCUCUCUUGGGCCCAGGCAUAGAUUUGGGCAAGUGGGCAGCUAUUUCGGAUCUAUCACCAAAACACUUUGAGUGAGCACCUCCUCUGCCCCAGGAUUUAUACUAAACACCAUAGUUGCAGAAAGGCAUAGAACUCUUCAAGGAACUGCAGCUCUUCA